rnacentral:rRNA from 1 species
GGACGAACGCUGGCGGCGUGCUUAACACAUGCAAGUCGAACGAGGAUAUUGAAGAGCAAUCUGAGAAUAUUCGAGUGGCGGACGGGUGAGUAACGCGUGAGCAACCUGUCUCUACAGGGGGAUAACGCACCGAAAGGUGUGCUAAUACCGCGUAAGACCACGGGAUCGCAUGAUUCUGAGGUCAAAGGAGCAAUCCGGUAGAAGGUGGGCUCGCGUCCCAUUAGAUAGUUGGUGAGGUAACGGCCCACCAAGUCAGCGAUGGGUAGCCGACCUGAGAGGGUGAUCGGCCACAUUGGAACUGAGAUACGGUCCAGACUCCUACGGGAGGCAGCAGUGGGGAAUAUUGGGCAAUGGGCGCAAGCCCUGACCCAGCAACGCCGCGUGAGGGAAGAAGGUCUUCGGAUUGUAAACCUCUGUCCUUAGUGAAAAGAAGAAGAUGGUAGCUAAGGAGGAAGCUCCGGCUAACUACGUGCCAGCAGCGGC